UACGGGGGGAGCAAGCGUUGUUCGGAUUUACUGGGCGUAAAGGGCGCGUAGGCGGCCACCGCAAGUCGACUGUGAAAUCUCCGGGCUUAACUCGGAACGGCCAAGUGAAACUGUCAUGCUAGAGUGCAGAAGGGGCAAUCGGAAUUCUUGGUGUAGCGGUGAAAUGCGUAGAUAUCAAGAGGAACACCUGAGGUGAAGACGGGUUGCUGGGCUGACACUGACGCUGAGGCGCGAAAGCCAGGGGAGCAAACGGG
rnacentral:rRNA from 1 species